rnacentral:misc_RNA from 1 species
AGCAACUCGAGGGGGCCUGAUAUAGAGGAAGAGUAUCAAAUACAAUUAGCUCUGGAGUUGAGUGCAAGGGAAGACCCCGAGGCAGUUCAGAUUGAAGCUGUUAAGCAGAUAAGUUUAGGCUCGUGUGCCCCGGAGAACACUGCAGCUGAAAUUGUAGCUUAUAGAUAUUGGAAUUACAAUGCUCUAAGCUUUGAUGACAAGAUCCUGGAUGGCUUUUAUGAUCUUUAUGGGAUCCUGACAGAGUCCGAUCCCUCAAAAAUGCCAUCUCUUAUCGAUCUACAAAGAACACCGGUAGCAGACCAGAUCACUUGGGAAG